UUCAUUUUUGUGGAUGGUUAAUACAAUCAUCUUCAACCUCUCGUCUCUCUCUCUCUUUUCACUCUCUGUUUUCUUCUUCCUUUACUGUAUAGUUGGAAAAUUUUGACCAUCGAUCCCUCUGAAUCAAGUAAAGUUAUGCUUGCCUAAUCAAAAACAGCUUUUUUACUUGGAGAAUAAAUGAAUGCAGAGCAUGGUCUUUGUUAAGGGAAGCAAUAGUUUUUAAUGUUAUUUUGGUGAAUUUACGCAAUUUAAUGCUUCUUUUGUAGGAAGAACUUGAAAGAGAGGGAAUAUGGGAGUUUGAUCGAUUGAGUCGCCCAUAUAUUCGGCAAGAAUUGCUACAGGAUAAAUUUGGAUCGUAUUGGACUUUUAUUGCCUCAACUUUUCUCAAUGAAUAUCAGCAGCAGUGCUAUGAGUUCAAGGAGGAAUGCAACACAGAGAAAAAAAUUGCUGCCAAGCUGAAGGCAUGUGCAGAGAGGUCCUUGUUGUUGGAGAGUGAAAACCCUAACUUUUAGAUUUUCUUUCUCUUAUUUUUUAGUAUAAUUUUUUGUUUUGGGAGGAGAGAGAUAUAAAAAGAGAACAAAAUUAUAUACUUACCCUUAUUUUUAAUAGGGGUGGGUAACGGAGCCUAACAGAAGUAAUCUCAAGUAGGCACAGUAUAAAACUUUUCCACUGCCAGGAGUUGAACAUGGAUUCUUUAAUCCAUAAGAAUUGCCAAUGUGCUACAGCGGAUUUUAUGUUCUAUAGUGCA